UCCCUCAAACCCUAGAAUCUUCACAAAAUUCACAAAUUAAGGCUGCAAAUCUGCUUCAAAUCAAGUUCUAAACACGAAUUAACGAUCACCUAAUCAUAGUGAUCAACAGGCAAAGAGUCCGGAUCGUCAAGCGGACAAACCGAAGGGAAUCCACGGGGAAAGGGCGUGCUCUAAAGUUUUCAGGUAUUCAAGAAAAAGGAUGAUGAUCAAGCAUAACUAUCCGAACCGAACACUCUAGCAAACGCUUCCGCAUAUGAUCUUUUGUUCUAAAAACUAUGUAAACAAUUGUAGUUAUCAUCUUGAUUAUGUUUUCGUAAGAACUAUACAUGUAUGUUGUGUUUAGUUUUGGUUUAAAAUAUUGAAAGUUUUUGUUAAGUCGUCAA